UACGGAGGGUGCAAGCGUUAUCCGGAUUCACUGGGUUUAAAGGGUGCGUAGGUGGGCAGUUAAGUCAGUGGUGAAAUCUCCGGGCUUAACCCGGAAACUGCCAUUGAUACUAUCUGUCUUGAAUACCGUGGAGGUGAGCGGAAUAUGUCAUGUAGCGGUGAAAUGCUUAGAUAUGACAUAGAACACCAAUUGCGAAGGCAGCUCACUACACGAAUAUUGACACUGAGGCACGAAAGCGUGGGGAUCAAACAGG
rnacentral:rRNA from 1 species